rnacentral:rRNA from 1 species
UACUCCCAUAUAAACUCUGGUUGAUCCUGCCAGAGGCCACUGCUAUUGGAAUACGACUAAGCCAUGCGAGUCAAGGGGCUCUUCGGAGCACCGGCGUACGGCUCAGUAACAUGUGGGUAACCUACCCUCAGGUGGGAGAUAACCUCGGGAAACUGAGGCUAAUAUCCCAUAGAUAAAAGAUACUGGAAUGUUUUUUUAUCGAAAACUCUUGUGCCUGAGGAUGGGCCUGCAUCCGAUUAGGUUGUUGGUGAGGUAAUGGCUCACCAAGCCUACGAUGGGUACGGGUCGUGAGAGCGAUAGCCCGGAGAUGGGGACUGAGACAAGGCCCCAGGCCCUACGGGGCGCAGCAGGCGCGAAAUCUCUCCAAUGUGUGAAAACAUGAGAGGGGUAUUCCAAGUGCCCUUGUUAUGCAAGGGAUUUUCUUUGGUCCAAGACGCCGAAGGAAUAAGAGCUGGGUAAGACCGGUGCCAGCCGCCGCGGUAACACCGGCAGCUCGAGUGGUGGCCACUAUUAUUGGGCCUAAAGCGUUCGUAGCCGGGCAGGUAAGUGCUCUGGUAAAUCCCAUAACUUAAUUAUGGGGCUUCAGAACAUACUGCCUGCCUUGAGACCGGGAGAGGCUGGAGGUACUUUCGGGGUAGGGGUAAAAUCCUAUAAUCCCGAAGGGACCACCGGUGGCGAAGGCGUCCAGCCAGAACGGGUCUGACGGUGAGGG